GUACGCUGGCGGCACGCCUAACACAUGCAAGUCGAACGCAGUAGCAAUACUGAGUGGCAAACGGGUGAGUAUAAUGUGGGAAUCUGCCUUUUGGUUUGGAAUAACACGGGGAAACUUGUGCUAAUACCGAAUAAGCCUUUACGGGGAAAGUUUUAACGCCGAAAGAUGAGCCUGCACUUGAUUAGCUAGUUGGUAAGGUAAAAGCUUACCAAGGCGACGAUCAAUAGCUGUUCUUAGAGGAAGACCAGCCACAUUGGGACUGAGACACGGCCCAGACUCCUACGGGAGGCAGCAGUGGGGAAUCUUGCACAAUGGGGGAAACCCUGAUGCAGCGAUGCCGCGUGAGUGAAGAAGGCCUUUGGGUUGUAAAACUCUUUCGUCGGGGAAGAAAAUGACUGUACCCGAAUAAGAAGGUCCGG
rnacentral:rRNA from 1 species